GCUUGGAGAGUUUCCACCUCUACCCCCAACAGGCGACAGCUACAACUGAACCAGGCAGGGUAGGGGACAGGAAGCACCUCACAGCGCUGACGGGAUGUGACAGACGUGGUCUGGGAAAAAUCCCAAUGCAUCAGGCUAAAAUACAGUCAUCUUAGAUGCUAAACCACAGAAGAAGAGAGAACGCGUCCCUGCCUUUCACCCCUGCAGCCGAAGGUGAGAGCUCUGUUGCUGCAGCCUGGCCUGACCCAAGUAUCUCUCUCAGAGCCUUGCUGCAGCAGCCUCCAGAAGUCAAGGUGUAGGAUUCCCCUGCAGCCUACUCCUGAAUCUGACAGCACGGCAAUGAUCUUGGAAGAGAUGGAAAAUGUUUCUAUCCCUCAAAUUGUUGGACAUUUAUCAAAAGCAAGUCCUGAAUAAAAUAUUUGGUGUAAAAAGCACUGCGACUUAACUUGAGCUACUACUUGCAAAAGAGCUUUAUUUGAAAAUAUUUCUUGGCUUGCAUAACAAAUGCAGGAUGAAUAUCAUAGCUAAAUACAUAAAUCGAAACUCAGAACUGAACUGCCAGAAGCCCAGGAGUCACAAAUGCGCAGCACUUCUGAAAUAUUCGUUGUCUUCAAAAGCGACAUGCAGACAGCUACAUUGAUAAAAUAUUGACCUUAUCAGUAAUACAACUCCAAAUAUGGAGACCAACCUAAAGAAUCAUUUUAUCAUCUGGAGGAACAGAGACCUGCCAUCCCAUUGAAAACUGCUCUACAAACUUCUGAGAACCCCUCACAAGGUGUUAUCAGCUCCAGCUGCCACCAAAGCCAAAGUGCUUUAAGGGUUUGUGCAGCAACUCGACGAAGAAGAGUUUCAGUUUACAACUGGUGGGAAACGAUCCACAUUGUAACGGGGUGGCAUAUUCAUAUCAGCAUGCAGAGAUGCUUUCCACUCAUCAAGAAGAAGGAUUGCCUUUCUUAUUUCAAGACACGUCAGAGCAAUAUGUGACCUUUGGAUCAUACAAUGGGCCUGGUGGGAUCUUCAAAACCAUUGCAUUGCUUUUUUCCAUCUCAGUGUCCAGGAGCUCACAUGUGUUGUUUUAACAAAUGCUGCAUGUAUUUACGAGAUAGAGCAGCAGCCUAGGGAUGGAUUUGGCAUCUCUGCCUACCUCAGGUCUGUGUGGCACAUUAGAAAGCAGUUUCUCAGGUCACAUGGAAGGUGUGUCUUAUUUCCUCCGGUUAACGGAGACAGGGAAGUACCCCCUGGGGACUGUAUUUCAGUUGUAAUAUUUCCUUUGUUGUAAACAACAAGUUGUGCCCUAGGAAAGGAUCUGCUAAAAGGAUCUGGAGGGCAAAAUGUGCUUUGUUUAUGGCUUGGCUUAGUUGACUUUCCCUCCUGGCAUCAGAGCCCAUCAGUCAGUGCACCUAAUUAAGUGCCCAGCUCCCACAACCUUUAAUGGUGUUUUUGAGGUAUUUAACAAGGAAUUAAGAGUGUAAACUGCAUGACAUCUGUUAAUGCAAUCUCCAUUUUUUUUAUAAACUUCAGCAAUUGUAACAUUUAGGAACUUUAGUUCUUUGGGCAAAAGCUGAACUUCUGAAACUCGAAAAGGAGCUGAGCAGUGUUUCAGGCCUAAAGCCCAACCAGUGCUUCAGGGUUCCUAAUGAUUUCAGCUAAAAUGAUGAGUUAUAAACCAGUCCUUAACUUGCAGUUUAAUUAUUUUAAAUGUCUGUCACACAGCAAUCUCAGUCAUUUAAAUAUUGCAUAGGCAUACACCCAAAAUACAGGUGAGGAAGCAGGCUUUAAACAAAAGCAAGAUGCUGCACUAAGUGCAAAAGACAAGAAAUUAAAUGAAGUGUUGGAAUAUAACUUUGAUAUUUAAUGUUCAGUUUUAACAAGCUCUCAGGCAGUGCUUGAAGCAGGAUUUAAAUCUAAUCAAUGAACAAGACAAAGCUUGAAAAACUCCAUGAGAGAAACAUGAUAUUUUGGGCUGCAUGUUACUAGCAGCAUGUAAGUGACAUCUGAGCAGUGGAAGAUGAUGAGAGCAGGGGCUGUGGCCAACAGCCUUCUGUACCCACAGCUACUCAGGGUGAGCAGAGCUUUCUGUGUGCACAAAUGUAUUAUGCUUCAAACACUUCCUCAUUAGAAAUAUCCUAAUGUCCUGCCCAGCUUCUGUAACUGGGCUGAGAUGGAGGUGUGGAAUGGACUAAAUAAACAAACCCAGCAGCAAUUGCAUAACUACAGGGAUACUCCUUCUAAUGCACCAAGAACAGUCACGAUGACAAAGUGAUAGGAGCUUCGCAAAGAUACUAUGGCAGGGAUCACUGCCUGCUGCACAGCAAUGCCUGAAAACACACAUGACCUCGCCUCACAUUAUUGCUUUUAAAUUGCUUACAGGCUCUUAACAGCUAGCUGAGACAUCUGGGUGAGGCAGGCAAAAUUUCAGUACCUGAUUGUGAGUUUUAACGUGGGCUCAGCCUCCUUCAUGAUGCAGAAAAAGGACAGAAGGAAAAUCGUACUUUAUGGUACAACAGGUACUGUGUGGCAAGGGCAGCGCAAAUUAGCGUGCAAGUUAUGUUUCCAGGAUUGUAAUGCCUUUAACAGGCAUGAUGCACAUCCUUGAAAUGAUUUGACAGAAAUUAGAUUUCAGCUAUAAAGUCCCAAUUACUUGAUGUCCUUCAUUUUCCUGUUCAAUUAGGUUCAUACUAAAAGUUACAAGGCUUCUAUUUCACUUUUCCUUCUUUGAGCAGGGAAAAAAAAAACAUUUUCAGCUUUAUUUUCCCUGUUGGUGGAAUGCACUGUUGUGGCCAUAUUCUCCCUUCCAGCUCAGAAGCUAGCUUGCUUCUGUUUCUCAAGCUAUCCUUUGUUGGCCUUACAAAGAAAGUGACUUCUUUGGACAAAUGCUUCAAAGGACAAAGGUUUGGAAGAAGUUAACAUCAUUCAGAGCAGAUCUACCUUGGCAGAUGUAUACCUGCAUUACCACAAGAACUAAGCUACUCCCAAGUAUUUGAUAGUGAAAGCUUGCAAGCAAAACAGGAGUGAGCCCAGUACUGUACACACACAGCAUUCUGCCCACAGUGUACCUUAAAAUGUGUGUCACAUCUUCCUAGAAGUGUGUUAGGAAGCUUCUGCCUAGAUUUGGGGA